UACUGUUGAUAAUUUAUAUGUAUCUUUUUUUCUCUCUAAAGGCAAAUGAAUCGAUAAUACUUAUUAUUUGAAUAUAAUUUAAUCUAAAUUAAAAUCGUUGUGUAAUAUGCAUUUGAUACAGGUUUCUCUAUGAUGGUUGUGGAGACACCAUAUUAAUCAUAUUUAUGGUAACUGUUGCUGCUCUUUUGGCACUAGGUAUAAUAACAAAGGUUAGUGAACAUCUUUAAGUCUAAUAUUUAUAUGUUUUGUUAUUUAAUUCGUUUCUUUUAUGGAAAGAUGACAUCUUUAUGUUAUCUACUCCAUGGGAUCAAAGGAUGGUAUGAUGGGGGAAGCAUAACUUUGGGUGUUAUAAUUGUCAUGGUUGUUAAAGAUAUUUUAUUUUUGUUUUCUGACUUGUAAACCAAUCAUGAAUAAGAUAAACAAAAAGAUUAUCUCACAUAGUUUGCUCUCUUUUCACAUUCCAUUGUUAUUUCGUAUUCUCUAGCCAAGCAUGAGUAUAAAAGUUCACUUAACAUUCCAUUGCCUUUUCUGCUUGCUAGGUUUUUCACUGGAUACACAGAGGAUGAUGAGGGAAAAGUAGAGUUCAUUACUAGUAAAACUAGUGUCAAGGAUGCUAUGGAUGGAGUAAUCAAAAUUUUCACUAUUGUAAUUAGGCAAUCUGCCUGUGAAAUGAUGGGUUCUGCAACUACAAUUUGCUGUGAUAAAACUGGAACCUUGACUUUGAAAUUGGUGGGAUAUUUUUCUUUUCUUGGUAACUUCAUGAUUCUUGCAUAUUUUAUUAUUUUAUUAUAGUAUUAAGUGCCAAUCUUCUGUUCAUAUAUUAGAUAGUUAGAGGGAAUCUCCUUUCGUUUCUUUUCUCUUUAUUUUGACAUCUGAGAAGUAAAAAUCCUUUAUUCUUUUACCUUAUUUAUCUCAUGUUUUUGCUUUAUUCAGAUGACUGGUCGAAGCUUAUAUUUGUGGGAAUAAAAAUGAUCCACCAAAUGACACGUCAGCAUUACCUCCAAAGAUUGUAUCUCUUCUUGUUGAAAGUGUAGCUCACAAUACAACUGACAGUGUAUUUUCCCCUGAGGUAGGGAGGCAGAGAUGUUGAGGUUUCUGGAUCUCCAACAGAGAAGGCCAUACUUCAAUAGGGGGUUAAGCUUGGAAUGAAUUUUGAUGUCGUGAGGUCAGAGUGUUCAGUUAUUUAUGCAUCCCCAUUCAACUCCGAGAAAAAACGAGGUGGUGUUGCAGUCAAACGGAUAAUUGUAUGGAAGCAGUCUCUCUACCUUCUCCUUUCUGAAAAUAGUUUGUGUUUUAUGUAUGUUGUUAUUUGGAUUAGGAAGAUUUGUUUUUCUAUUUUGACUCAUGUUAAUAAAAUAACAAUUAAAUGUGAUUUAUUUUGAAUAUUAGUAUAAUUAUUUCAUUAAA